rnacentral:rRNA from 1 species
AGUCGAGCGGUAGCACAGAGAGCUUGCUCUCGGGUGACGAGCGGCGGACGGGUGAGUAAUGUCUGGGAAACUGCCUGAUGGAGGGGGAUAACUACUGGAAACGGUAGCUAAUACCGCAUAACGUCGCAAGACCAAAGUGGGGGACCUUCGGGCCUCAUGCCAUCAGAUGUGCCCAGAUGGGAUUAGCUAGUAGGUGGGGUAACGGCUCACCUAGGCGACGAUCCCUAGCUGGUCUGAGAGGAUGACCAGCCACACUGGAACUGAGACACGGUCCAGACUCCUACGGGAGGCAGCAGUGGGGAAUAUUGCACAAUGGGCGCAAGCCUGAUGCAGCCAUGCCGCGUGUGUGAAGAAGGCCUUCGGGUUGUAAAGCACUUUCAGCGGGGAGGAAGGCGAUAAGGUUAAUAACCUUGKCGAUUGACGUUACCCGCAGAAGAAGCACCGGCUAACUCCGUGCCAGCAGCCGCGGUAAUACGGAGGGUGCAAGCGUUAAUCGGAAUUACUGGGCGUAAAGCGCACGCAGGCGGUCUGUCAAGUCGGAUGUGAAAUCCCCGGGCUCAACCUGGGAACUGCAUUCGAAACUGGCAGGCUAGAGUCUUGUAGAGGGGGGUAGAAUUCCAGGUGUAGCGGUGAAAUGCGUAGAGAUCUGGAGGAAUACCGGUGGCGAAGGCGGCCCCCUGGACAAAGACUGACGCUCAGGUGCGAAAGCGUGGGGAGCAAACAGGAUUAGAUACCCUGGUAGUCCACGCCGUAAACGAUGUCGAUUUGGAGGUUGUGCCCUUGAGGCGUGGCUUCCGGAGCUAACGCGUUAAAUCGACCGCCUGGGGAGUACGGCCGCAAGGUUAAAACUCAAAUGAAUUGACGGGGGCCCGCACAAGCGGUGGAGCAUGUGGUUUAAUUCGAUGCAACGCGAAGAACCUUACCUGGUCUUGACAUCCACAGAACUUUCCAGAGAUGGAUUGGUGCCUUCGGGAACUGUGAGACAGGUGCUGCAUGGCUGUCGUCAGCUCGUGUUGUGAAAUGUUGGGUUAAGUCCCGCAACGAGCGCAACCCUUAUCCUUUGUUGCCAGCGGUUAGGCCGGGAACUCAAAGGAGACUGCCAGUGAUAAACUGGAGGAAGGUGGGGAUGACGUCAAGUCAUCAUGGCCCUUACGACCAGGGCUACACACGUGCUACAAUGGCAUAUACAAAGAGAAGCGACCUCGCGAGAGCAAGCGGACCUCAUAAAGUAUGUCGUAGUCCGGAUUGGAGUCUGCAACUCGACUCCAUGAAGUCGGAAUCGCUAGUAAUCGUAGAUCAGAAUGCUACGGUGAAUACGUUCCCGGGCCUUGUACACACCGCCCGUCACACCAUGGGAGUGGGUUGCAAAAGAAGUAGGUAGCUUA